rnacentral:ncRNA from 1 species
AAUGUAAAGGAGGGAAUUGAGUUUCAGAAACCACAGCCAAGGGAACGGGCUUGGUGGAAUCAGCAGGGAAAGAAGACCCUGUUGAGCUUGACUCUAGUCUGGCGCUGUGAAGAGACAUGAGAGGUGUAGAAUAAGUGGGAGGCCACUGCCCGCGGUCGCGCGGGUCACCCCUGCUGUGCCGCGGCCCCGGCCGCCGGUGAAAUACCACUACUCUGAUCGUUUUUUCACUUACCCGGUGAGGCGGGGGGGCGAGCACUGAGGGGCUCUCGCUUCUGGCGCCAAGCGCCCGGCGCGACCCGCUCCAGGGACAGCGUCAGGUGGGGAGUUUGACUGGGGCGGUACACCUGUCAAAACGUAACGCAGGUGUCCUAAGGCGAGCUCAGGGAGGCCAGAAACCUCCCGUGGAGCAGAAGGGCAAAAGCUCGCUUGAUCUUGAUUUUCAGUACGAAUACAGACCGUGAAAGCGGGGCCU